rnacentral:rRNA from 1 species
AUACGUAGGGGGCGAGCGUUGUCCGGAAUGAUUGGGCGUAAAGGGCGCGUAGGCGGCGCGGUAAGUCUGGAGUGAAAGUCCUGCUUUCAAGGUGGGAAUUGCUUCGGAUACUGCCGCGCUUGAGUGCAGGAGAGGUUAUCGGAAUUCCCGGUGUAGCGGUGAAAUGCGUAGAGAUCGGGAGGAACACCAGUGGCGAAGGCGGGUAACUGGACUGCAACUGACGCUGAGGCGCGAAAGUGUGGGGAGCAAACAGGAUGAGAUACCCUGGUAGUCCACACUGUAAACGAGGAAUGCUAGGUGUAAGAGGUAUCGACCCCUUUUGUGCCGGAGUCAACACAAUAAGCAUUCCGCCUGGGGAGUACGGCCGCAAGGUUGAAACUCAAAUGAAUUGACGGGG